rnacentral:rRNA from 1 species
AGAGUUUGAUCAUGGCUCAGGACUAACGCUGGCGGCGUGCCUAACACAUGCAAGUCGAACGAGUAGCAAUACUAGUGGCAGACGGGUGAGUAACGCGUAGGUAAUGUGCCUUCUUACUGGGGAUACCGUUCCGAAAGGAGCGUUAAUACCGAAUGUGACGGAGACGGGGCAUCCCGUUUUCGUUAAACUGUUAGGGUGAGAAGAGCAGCCUGCGUUCUAUCAGCUUGUUGGUGGGGUAACGGCCUACCAAGGCUACGACGGAUAGCCGGUCUGAGAGGAUGAUCGGCCACACUGGGACUGAGACACGGCCCAGACUCCUACGGGAGGCAGCAGUGAGGAAUAUUGCACAAUGGGCGAAAGCCUGAUGCAGCAACGCCGCGUGCGCGAUGAAGGUCUUCGGAUCGUAAAGCGCUUUUCUGAGAGAUGAGAAAGGACAGUAUCUCAGGAAUAAGUCUCGGCUAACUACGUGCCAGCAGCCGCGGUAAAACGUAGGAGGCGAGCGUUAUCCGGAUUCACUGGGCGUAAAGCGCGUGCAGGUGGUUCGGUAAGUUGGGCGUGAAAUCUCCCGGCUCAACUGGGAGAGGUCGUUCAAUACUACCGGACUUGAGAGCAGAAGAGGAAGAUGGAAUUCCCGGUGUAGUGGUGAAAUGCGUAGAUAUCGGGAGGAACACCAGUGGCGAAGGCGAUCUUCUGGUCUGUUUCUGACACUCAGACGCGACAGCUAGGGUAGUAAACGGGAUUAGAUACCCCGGUAGU